rnacentral:rRNA from 1 species
CUACGGGAUGCACCAGUGAGGAAUAUUGCACAAUGGGGGAAACCCUGAUGCAGCAACGCCGCGUGGAGGAUGACGCAUUUCGGUGUGUAAACUCCUUUUAUCAGAGAAGAAAAUGACGGUAUCUGAUGAAUAAGCUCCGGCUAACUCCGUGCCAGUAGCCGCGGUAAUACGGAGGGAGCAAGCGUUAUUCGGAAUCACUGGGCGUAAAGGACGCGUAGGCGGGUUUUUAAGUCAGGUGUGAAAUCCUAUGGCUCAACCAUAGAACUGCACUUGAAACUGGGGACCUAGAGUAUGGAAGGGGCAGGUGGAAUUAGUGGUGUAGGGGUAAAAUCCGUAGAUAUCACUAGGAAUACCGAAAGCGAAGGCGACCUGCUGGGACAUUACUGACGCUGAGGCGUGAAAGCGUGGGGAGCAAACAGGAUUAGAUACCCGGUAGUC